GAACGCGAAGAACCUUACCAGGUCUUGACAUCCCUCUGACCGCUCUAGAGAUAGAGCUUUCCUUCGGGACAGAGGUGACAGGUGGUGCAUGGUGUCGUCAGCUCGUGUCGUGAGAUGUUGGGUUAAGUCCCGCAACGAGCGCAACCCCUAUUGUUAGUUGCCAUCAUUCAGUUGGGCACUCUAGCGAGACUGCCGGUAAUAAACCGGAGGAAGGUGGGGAUGACGUCAAAUCAUCAUGCCCCUUAUGACCUGGGCUACACACGUGCUACAAUGGCUGGUACAACGAGUCGCAAGUCGGUGACGGCAAGCUAAUCUCUUAAAGCCAGUCUCAGUUCGGAUUGUAGGCUGCAACUGCUACAUGAAGUCGGAAUCGCUAGUAAUCGCGGAUCAGCACGCCGCGGUGAAUACGUUCCCGGGUCUUGUACACACC
rnacentral:rRNA from 1 species